rnacentral:rRNA from 1 species
UCUGGUCCGGCAUGCUCAAGUGAAAUCGCAUAUCCGUUGUUUGGUUGUGCGAGUUGUAGCCUCUAGAGGCGUUGCCAGUGGAGGGGCAGGUCCAAGUUUCUUGGAAUAGAACUUCAGAGAGGGUGACAGUCCCGUCCUUUGUCCUGCUCUUUAAUCUCCACGUACGGUGCGCUUUUAUUGAGUCGCGUUCAUUGGGAUUUGAGCGCAAAAUGUGUGAUAAGUUUCACAUAAAGCUAAAUACUAGCGCGAGACCGAUAGAAAACAAGUACUGUGAAGGAAAGAUGAAAAGGACUUUGGAAAGAGAGUUAAAAGUGCCUGAAAUUGCUGGAAGGGAAGCGAUUGGAACCUUUGUUUCUCUUGGGUGCCAUUUGAGUUUUCUGGUCUACUUCUGUCUCGUUCCGUCACUGGAUUGGUCAGUUGUUGUUUGCACCAGUUUUCUCUAGUGUAAUCCCUUGGGUUGUGGUCAGCAUCAGCAUCAUAGAGUCUAUAUGACCUUAAGAAGGUAGGUCCCUUGUGGACUAUUAUAGCUUUCGGUUACGUAUUCUUGUUCUCUUUGAUGCCGAGGUGUGUUCUCGCGCGUUCAGUAGCUCCACUUUCGAGUACUUCUGUUCUGCGAUGCUGUCUCUAACGGUUUCAACCGACCCGUCUUGAAACACGGACCAAGGAGUCUAACAUAUGUGCAAGUAUGCGGGUGGUAAAAACCUGUAUGCGGAAUGAAAGUAAGAGUAGGGAGAAGUUGGUAUUUUAUAUCAUCUUCGCACCUACGACCGACCACGAUCUUAGAGAGAGGUUUGAGUUGUAGCACAUAUGUUAGGACCCGAAAGAUGGUGAACUAUGCCUGAGUAGGGUGAAGUCAGGCGAAAGCCUGAUGGAAGCUCGUAGCGAUACUGACGUGCAAAUCGUUCGUCAAACUUGGGUAUAGGGGCGAAAGACUAAUCGAACCGUCUAGUAGCUGGUUUCUUCCGAAGUUUCUCUCAGGAUAGCUGGAGUUCGAUAUUAGUUUUAUCAGGUAAAGCGAAUGAUUAGAGGCCUCGGGGGCGCGUCGCCCUCGACCUAUUCUCAAACUUUAAAUGGGUAAGAUCCAGUGGUUACUUCAUUGAACUGCUGGGGUUAAUAUGAACUCCAAGUGGGCCAUUUUUGGUAAGCAGAACUGGCGAUGAGGGAUGCUCCUAACGCUUGGUUAAGGUGCCUAAAUACUCGCUCAUGAGACACCAUAAAAGGUGUUGGUUCAUUUUGACAGCAGGACGGUGGUCAUGGAAGUCGAAAUCCGCUAAGAAGUGUGUAACAACUUACCUGCCGAAUGAACCAGCCCUGAAAAUGGAUGGCGCUGCAGCGAGUUACCGAUACCAGGCCAUUGCCACAAGUGUUUGUGAGCACUGGACUGUGUGGGCAAUAUUUUUUCCG